CAGUCGCACGGUAAUACGGAGGGUGCAAGCGUUAAUCGGAAUUACUGGGCGUAAAGCGCACGCAGGCGGUCUGACAAGUCAGAUGUGAAAUCCCCGGGCUUAACCUGGGAACUGCAUUUGAAACUGUCAGGCUGGAGUCUUGUAGAGGGGGGUGGAAUUCCAGGUGUAGCGGUGAAAUGCGUAGAGAUCUGGAGGAAUACCGGUGGCGAAGGCGGCCCCCUGGACAAAGACUGACGCUCAGGUGCGAAAGCGUGGGGAGCAAACAGGAUUAGAGACCCGUGUAGUCCCUGUCUCUUAUACC
rnacentral:rRNA from 1 species